GAUGAACGCUGGCGGCGUGCCUAAUACAUGCAAGUCGAGCGAACAGACGAGGAGCUUGCUCCUCUGACGUUAGCGGCGGACGGGUGAGUAACACGUGGAUAACCUACCUAUAAGACUGGGACAACUUCGGGAAACCGGAGCUAAUACCGGAUAAUAUAUUGAACCGCAUGGUUCAAUAGUGAAAGACGGUUUUGCUGUCACUUAUAGAUGGAUCCGCGCCGCAUUAGCUAGUUGGUAAGGUAACGGCUUACCAAGGCGACGAUGCGUAGCCGACCUGAGAGGGUGAUCGGCCACACUGGAACUGAGACACGGUCCAGACUCCUACGGGAGGCAGCAGUAGGGAAUCUUCCGCAAUGGGCGAAAGCCUGACGGAGCAACGCCGCGUGAGUGAUGAAGGUCUUCGGAUCGUAAAACUCUGUUAUUAGGGAAGAACAAAUGUGUAAGUAACUAUGCACGUCUUGACGGUACCUAAUCAGAAAGCCACGGCUAACUACGUG
rnacentral:rRNA from 1 species